rnacentral:rRNA from 1 species
GAGUCGACCCCUAAGGCGAGGCCGAAAGGCGUAGUCGAUGGGAAACGGGUUAAUAUUCCCGUACUUGGUGUUACUGCGAAGGGGGGACGGAGAAGGCUAUGUUGGCCGGGCGACGGUUGUCCCGGUUUAAGCGUGUAGGUGUGUGUUCCAGGUAAAUCCGGUUCACUUUAACACUGAGGCGUGACGACGAGGCACUACGGUGCUGAAGCAACAAAUGCCCUGCUUCCAGGAAAAGCCUCUAAGCAUCAGGUAACAUCAAAUCGUACCCCAAACCGACACAGGUGGUCAGGUAGAGAAUACCAAGGCGCUUGAGAGAACUCGGGUGAAGGAACUAGGCAAAAUGGUGCCGUAACUUCGGGAGAAGGCACGCUGACACGUAGGUGAAGUGAUUUACUCAUGGAGCUGAAGUCAGUCGAAGAUACCAGCUGGCUGCAACUGUUUAUUAAAAACACAGCACUGUGCAAACACGAAAGUGGACGUAUACGGUGUGACGCCUGCCCGGUGCCGGAAGGUUAAUUGAUGGGGUCAGCGCAAGCGAAGCUCCUGAUCGAAGCCCCGGUAAACGGCGGCCGUAACUAUAACGGUCCUAAGGUAGCGAAAUUCCUUGUCGGGUAAGUUCCGACCUGCACGAAUGGCGUAAUGAUGGCCAGGCUGUCUCCACCCGAGACUCAGUGAAAUUGAACUCGCUGUGAAGAUGCAGUGUACCCGCGGCAAGACGGAAAGACCCCGUGAACCUUUACUAUAGCUUGACACUGAACAUUGAGCCUUGAUGUGUAGGAUAGGUGGGAGGCUUUGAAGUGUGGACGCCAGUCUGCAUGGAGCCGACCUUGAAAUACCACCCUUUAAUGUUUGAUGUUCUAACGUGGACCCGUUACCCGGGUUGCGGACAGUGUCUGGUGGGUAGUUUGACUGGGGCGGUCUCCUCCUAAAGAGUAACGGAGGAGCACGAAGGUUGGCUAAUCCUGGUCGGACAUCAGGAGGUUAGUGCAAUGGCAUAAGCCAGCUUGACUGCGAGCGUGACGGCGCGAGCAGGUGCGAAAGCAGGUCAUAGUGAUCCGGUGGUUCUGAAUGGAAGGGCCAUCGCUCAACGGAUAAAAGGUACUCCGGGGAUAACAGGCUGAUACCGCCCAAGAGUUCAUAUCGACGGCGGUGUUUGGCACCUCGAUGUCGGCUCAUCACAUCCUGGGGCUGAAGUAGGUCCCAAGGGUAUGGCUGUUCGCCAUUUAAAGUGGUACGCGAGCUGGGUUUAGAACGUCGUGAGACAGUUCGGUCCCUAUCUGCCGUGGGCGCUGGAGAACUGAGGGGGGCUGCUCCUAGUACGAGAGGACCGGAGUGGACGCAUCACUGGUGUUCGGGUUGUCAUGCCAAUGGCACUGCCCGGUAGCUAAAUGCGGAAGAGAUAAGUGCUGAAAGCAUCUAAGCACGAAACUUGCCCCGAGAUGAGUUCUCCCUGAGACUUUAGGUCUCCUGAAGGAACGUUGAAGACGACGACGUUGAUAGGCCGGGUGUGUAAGCGCAGCGAUGCGUUGAGCUAACCGGUACUAAUGAACCGUGAGGCUUAACCUUACAACGCCG